GAUGAACGCUGGCGGCGUGCCUAAUACAUGCAAGUCGAGCGGACAGACGAGGCGCUUGCUCCUCUGACGUUAGCGGCGGACGGGUGAGUAACACGUGGAUACCCUACCUAUAAGACUGGGAUAACUACGGGAAACCGGAGCUAAUACCGGAUAAUAUCUUGAACCGCAUGGUUCAAUAGAGAAAGACGGUUUUGCUGUCACUAAUAGAUGGAUCCGCGCCGCAUUAGCUAGUUGGUAAGGUAACGGCUUACCAAGGCGACGAUGCGUAGCCGCCCUGAGAGGGUGAUCAGCCACACUGGAACUGAGACACGGUCCAGACUCCUACGGGAGGCAGCAGUAGGGAAUCUUCCGCAAUGGGCGAAAGCCUGACGGAGCAACGCCGCGUGAGUGAUGAAGGUCUUCGGAUCGUAAAACACUGUUAUUAGGGAGGAACAAAUGUGUAAGUAACUAUGCACGUCUUGACGGUACCUAAUCAGAAAGCCACGGCUAACUUCGUG
rnacentral:rRNA from 1 species